CAGACUUCAGGAUGUACAUAACAUCUACAGAGAUUUAUUUAGCUGUGUUUUACUCAGAAGAUCCUGUUGACAGCUGGGGAUGGAUGCACACGACUGUGUGAUUACAGAGCUCUAAGAAAUGACAUGAUGGGAAGAGAGGAGUGUAAACCAUAAGGAAGUGAUGCCUGGUGACAGCGUUGACAGUACAGAGCUGUAGCAUCAUGCCUGUGCGCGCCAAGGGAAGAAACCAGAAGGAAGGUUACCUCGUUUCUUCUAGCUGUUUCCUUUCAAGCCCUUAUUCAGGAUUUUAUCUGUUUUGGAGGGAAACUCAGGUGCUGUCUUUAGUGUUUAGCUGGAAAGAAGCCUUAGAGGUCUGGGGUUUCGUGAAAACCAGGAGUUGAUUUAAGAAGCAGAAAUGCUUUUAAAAAAUCCUUUGUUGGAUCAGUUUUUUAAAAAAACUACAUAGAUCCUGUUACAGACUAAAUGUCUGUGUGCUCUCAAAAUUCAUAUAUUGAAACCAUACCCCACAAUGGGAUGGUAUAAGGAGGUGGGUCUUUGGGAGGUAAUUAGGAUGAGAUGAGGCCAUAAGGGUAGAGCCCUCAUGAAUGGGAUUAGUGUUCUUAUAUGAGUCAAGUGAGAGCUUUCUUCCCGUCUCUGAUCUCUGCCACACGAGGAUAUGAGAAGGCAGCAGAUGGCAACACAGAAGAGAGUUCUCACCAGAACUUGAGCAUGUUGGUACCCCGAUCUCAGACUUUCAGCCUCCAGAAGUGUGAGAAAUAAGUUUCUGUCAUUUAUAAUCCACCCAGUAUAUAGCACUUUGUUAUCGCAGCCCAAACUAAGAAAUUUGUUUAGCUGUGUUUCACCAAACACAUCGCAUAGCAUCCAUGCAGAGCAUCUUCAGAAGUCAGGAAUUUGUUAUUCAAUGGCAUCCCUGGGUUCUAGAUACCCCAAACAGAUUAUGCUGCAAGGAUUCCAGACAGCUUUGUAAAGAAAAUUAAAUCAGCGUGAUUCAAAC
rnacentral:lncRNA from 1 species